rnacentral:rRNA from 1 species
AGAGUAGCCGCGGUAAUACGAAGGGUGCAAGCGUUAAUCGGAAUUACUGGGCGUAAAGCGUGCGUAGGCGGUUUGUUAAGUCUGUUGUGAAAUCCCCGGGCUCAACCUGGGAAUGGCAAUGGAUACUGGCAAGCUAGAGUGUGUCAGAGGAUGGUGGAAUUCCCAGUGUAGCGGUGAAAUGCGUAGAGAUCGGGAGGAACAUCAGUGGCGAAGGCGGCCAUCUGGGACAACACUGACGCUGAGGCACGAAAGCGUGGGGAGCAAACAGGAUUAGAUACCCCUGUAGUCCCUGUCUCUUAUACC